rnacentral:misc_RNA from 1 species
CCCCACUAUCUUUCUUACGAACUUGGCGGAACGACGAAAGAUAGUGGGG